CCUACGGGGCGCUGCAGUGGGGAAUAUUGGACAAUGGGCGAAAGCCUGAUCCAGCCAUGCCGCGUGUGUGAAGAAGGCCUUCGGGUUGUAAAGCACUUUCAGUGGGGAAGAAAGCCUUGGGGCUAAUACCCGCGAGGAAGGACAUCACCCACAGAAGAAGCACCGGCUAACUCCGUGCCAGCAGCCGCGGUAAUACGGAGGGUGCGAGCGUUAAUCGGAAUUACUGGGCGUAAAGCGCGCGUAGGCGGUCUGAUAAGCCGGUUGUGAAAGCCCCGGGCUCAACCUGGGAACGGCAUCCGGAACUGUCAGGCUAGAGUGCAGGAGAGGAAGGUAGAAUUCCCGGUGUAGCGGUGAAAUGCGUAGAGAUCGGGAGGAAUACCAGUGGCGAAGGCGGCCUUCUGGACUGACACUGACGCUGAGGUGCGAAAGCGUGGGUAGCAAACAGGAUUAGAUACCCCAGUGUC
rnacentral:rRNA from 1 species